AACGAACGCUGGCGGCGUGGAUUAGGCAUGCAAGUCGAACGAUCUUUUCCCGGGUAGCAAUAUUUGGGAAAAGAGAGUGGCGGACGGGUGAGUAACGCGUGGGCAAGCUGCCCUGAAGUUCGGAAUAGCUCCGGGAAACCGGGGGUAAUACCGAAUGUGACCGUCUCCUGCAUGGGAGACUACUUAAAGGUGGGGAUCCGCAAGGACCUGUCGCUUCAGGAUGUGCCCGCGUCCCAUCAGCUAGUUGGUGAGGUAAUGGCCCACCAAGGCUAAGACGGGUAGCUGGUCUGAGAGGAUGGUCAGCCACACUGGGACUGAGACACUGCCCAGACUCCUACGGGUGGCAG
rnacentral:rRNA from 1 species